CCUACGGGAGGCAGCAGUGGGGAAUUUUGGACAAUGGGCGCAAGCCUGAUCCAGCAAUGCCGCGUGCAGGAUGAAGGCCUUCGGGUUGUAAACUGCUUUUGUACGAAACGAAAAGGUCUUCUCUAAUACAGAGGGCCCAUGACGGUACCGUAAGAAUAAGCACCGGCUAACUACGUGCCAGCAGCCGCGGUAAUACGUAGGGUGCGAGCGUUAAUCGGAAUUACUGGGCGUAAAGCGUGCGCAGGCGGUGAUGUAAGACAGAUGUGAAAUCCCCGGGCUCAACCUGGGACCUGCAUUUGUGACUGCAUCGCUGGAGUGCGGCAGAGGGGGAUGGAAUUCCGCGUGUAGCAGUGAAAUGCGUAGAUAUGCGGAGGAACACCGAUGGCGAAGGCAAUCCCCUGGGCCUGCACUGACGCUCAUGCACGAAAGCGUGGGGAGCAAACAGGAUUAGAUACCCUGGUAGUCCACGCCCUAAACGAUGUCAACUGGUUGUUGGGUCUUCACUGACUCAGUAACGAAGCUAACGCGUGAAGUUGACCGCCUGGGGAGUACGGCCGCAAAGGUUGAAACUUCAAAGGAAUUGACGGCNGAGAGNGCGAGGACGACACGAGGGGAGGUAGG
rnacentral:rRNA from 1 species